rnacentral:misc_RNA from 1 species
GAUGAAGAACGUAGCGAAAUGCGAUACGUAGUGUGAAUUGCAGAAUUCAGUGAAUCAUCGAAUCUUUGAACGCACAUUGCGCCCGCCAGUAUUCUGGCGGGCAUGCCUGUCCGAGCGUCAUUUCAACCCUCGAACCCCUCCGGGGGGUCGGCGUUGGGGAUCGGCCCUUUCACCGGGUGCCGGCCCCUAAAUACAGUGGCGGUCUCGCCGCAGCCUCUCAUGCGCAGUAGUUUGCACACUCGCACCGGGAGCGCGGCGCGUCCUCGUCCGUAAAACACCCCAAACUUCUGAAAUGUUGACCUCGGAUCAGGUAGGAAUACCCGCUGAACUUAAGCAUAUCAAUAAGCGGAGGA